AUGGAGCAAAAUCUCAACUUUAUUAGAAGAGACGCAUUUAUUAGAUAAAAAGCCAGUUCAUGCUUUUACAGUAUGAAAAUUGGUGAUUUAUAAUAACUUAGCAAAUCGCAAAGUGAAAACAGGCGAUAAAUCAUUCAAGUUUCUGACCUAUCAGCUUUCGACGGUAUGGUAUUGGCUUACCGUGGCAGUGACGGUUAACGGGGGAUUAGGGUUCGAUUCCGGAGAGGGAGCCUGAGAAACGGCUACCACAUCUAAGGAAGGCAGCAGGCGCGCAAAUUACCCAAUUCUAACAGUUUGAGAGAGGUAGUAACAAGAAAUAACAAUACAAGGCAGUUAAAAUGCUUUGUAAUUGGAAUGAUAGAAAUUUAAACCCUUUUUAAAGUAUCAAUUGGAGGGCAAGUCUGGUGCCAGCAGCCGCGGUAAUUCCAGCUCCAAUAGCGUAUAUUAAAAUUGUUGCAGUUAAAAAGCUCGUAGUUGAAGUUCUGCUGAAAGUAACCGGUCUGCUUUUAAUAAAAGUGGUAUCUUGGUAUGUAUUUAGCAAUGAUGUCCUUUGAAGUGUUUUUUACUUUAUUGUAAUAAAGCAUAUUCAGGACUUUUACUUUGAGAAAAUUAGAGUGUUUCUAGCAGGCUAACGCUUUGAAUACUGCAGCAUG
rnacentral:rRNA from 1 species